AUGAGGUCACAUCAUGAUGCUCUGUAGUGGCCACUUUAACUGUGGAAUGCUUGCGUGUCCUCAGAUGAUUUUUUUUUCUUUUUUUUUUAUCUUUCUGUUGUUGAUAUCGUCACAUUUGUCAGCAGGUCCGGUGUUGAGAGUCAGAUGACCUCCUGUGUGGAUGAAGAUGUACCUGGCCUCCGUGGGAGGGGCGCAGGGACAAGAGGAGUGUGCGACCCCUGCGACUGUUCUAUUCAUGGGGUUACAGGUCAGAUUGGAUCCAGCUCUCUGUGGACAGAUUAAAGCCCGUCACCAAGAGGCCUUCGCAGAGGCGGAACAAGUGAGCGCCCCUGCUGCUGAUUGGCUGUCUGGCUAUUUAAACCCAGUUGUUUGUAGCGUGGGGAGAGUCUGUCUUCUAUGCUCUGAGGACACUCUCUCUUGGACUUUUUGUACUUUUUGGACAUUUAAUAGUAGUUGGUGCCUUUUUUCACUUUUUUCAAGUUGUUGUGCACCAUCACCUUUUGUUUCUGCUCUCUCCUUGUUGUACUUUGUGUGAGUCUUUUUUUUUGUGUGUCCCGUCCAGCCAUUAGGGCACAUCGUAUUGUUGAUCUUAUACAGAAUUUAUUUGACUUU